AACAAACGCUGGCGGCGUGCCUAACACAUGCAAGUCGUACGAGAAAGUCGGCUUCGGCCGAUGAGUACAGUGGCGCACGGGUGAGUAGCGCGUGGGUAAUCUGCCCCCCGGUCAGGAAUAACCCGCCGAAAGGCGGGCUAAUACCCGAUAACACUGACGCUCCGCGGAGCGUCUUUCAAAGAAGGCCUCUGUUUACAAGCUUUCGCCGGAGGAUGAGCCCGCGUACCAUUAGCUAGUUGGCAGGGUAAUGGCCUACCAAGGCUACGAUGGUUAGCUGGUCUGAGAGGAUGGCCAGCCACACUGGAACUGAGACACGGUCCAGACUCCUACGGGAGGCAGCAGUGAGGAAUCUUGCGCAAUGGGGGAAACCCUGACGCAGCAACGCCGCGUGAGUGAGGAAGGCCUUCGGGUCGUAAAGCUCUGUCAGAUGGGAAAGAAAUGGAUGGGGGCUAAUAUCGCCCAUCCUUGACGGUACCAUCAGAGGAAGCACCGGCUAACUCCGUG
rnacentral:rRNA from 1 species